UUGCUUUGGCAGUACAUAUACUAAAAUUAGAACAAUACAGAGAAAAUUAGCAUGGCCCCUGUGCAAGGAUGAUAAUGCAGAUUUGUGAAGCAUUUCAUAUUUUU
ensembl:snRNA U6 U6 spliceosomal RNA